AAGUUCCCACUAAUCCAGCUGAUCCCUGAAAGUCUUGGAGGCGCUCAUGGCUGUGGUGGCUAAGCAGGAGUGUGACCUCAGCACCAGUAGUCGUGGGAAUGGAAGCUGGGUGUGUCUGGACUGCUGCCUCCUGCACACCUGCAGGAGAUUCCUUCAUUUGGCAGAGCCACUAAAAGCUACAGAAUGUCUUCUCUUCGACUGAUUAUACCUGGUGACUGAUCACUUAGAGGUUCCACCUCCAUCUGCCCUCAGAGAAUCUCCUUGCACUAUCUG